CCGGGGCCGGGCUGGGCAGCCGGUGCUGGGAGUUAGGCCGAGUUUAGCCUGACCACGGAGUGAACUUUUUACCGAAAGUCCUCAGCUGACAGUGCACUUUGACAACCUAACAGCAUGGAAGUGACCAGCGCACGUGUCGGUGUCCGAGGCGGGUUGGUGAGCUGUGAAAACACGGGUUAGCCAGGCAGAGCGUGGAAACCCAGUUUACAAAUCAGGAGAAAAACAUUUUCUCUCUUCCCCAAAUUGACAGCUCCUCUUUGUAAUAUUGCAAGGCAGUUUAAAGGCGUAUUAUAAAUCCCAUCAGAAUUUUGUUGUGGAACUGGGUAGCGAUAGUAAUUUUUGAAGCACGGUAUUAGUAUUUUUCACCCCUCUUUUCACUGGUACUGUAAAACAAGAAGUAGAGGAGGGUAUUUUGGCAUGAUUAUAGGUUCAGUGCUGCUCCCACGGAGGUGAAUAGCAGUUUGGUCGCUGUAACAGUGUAGACUGCUAACGUAAUGAUGUGUUGGGAGGGGAACAAAUAUUCUUCUGGUGUGACAGCUAGGCUGCAUUACUCGUUAGUGGCGAGGCCCUAAUCAAAUUUUGCAGGCUACCUUAUAUAAUUCCUGAUAAGUGCCAAUAAAUCAGCAUGGAGUAUGUAUCACAUACACCGCAGAAAAGUUAUUUUAGGAAUGUCUUAAGUACCUUCUUCUUACGUUUGUCUCCCUCUGCCAGAAAUGCCACAUUGAUGCAUUAGUAAUUGUGAGCCAGAGUAUCAGAUAGGAUAAAUUGGUAGAAUAGCUCCAUCAAGACAGAUUUGCCUCCUGUUUAAAUGUGUUAAAUGUGUUGGCUCCAGAGAAAAUUAGCUGCAGAGAUCAACAGAUGUCUAUAUGCGCUUUUCUAUGUAGAAUGAAGACAUGAUGAUAAAAGAUUCUCCUUGGGCUCUCUGGUGUAAAAACACAUGAGACGUGCAAUGUUUUUUCUCACCAACUCUACCAGCCAUUCUCCAGUUCUUCCAGAGCUGAGAACUUAGCCCAACCAGCCACAUGCCAUAUUUCUUUGCUUCAGUCUGCUGCCCUAUCUGCUCUUUCCAGACCUGCCUGGAAAUGGUAAAUCUGCUUGUGGCAUCUUUGCAACACGCUCUUUGAGUAAAACCAGUGCAAAUAAUCUCUUCAGGGCCAGAUUUCGUGGACCGCUGAACACUUCCUAACUCCAGCUGAAGUCAGUGGCAGUGCUAAGGGUCAGUUCUGGAGAUCAGGCCUGCAGCUUCCUGUAAUCUUCUCACCUUCUUUAAUUCCUUCACAGCCUGCGGCAGGUUACCAGUCCUCUGGUGAGGUUCUGGUUCCUCGUGCUUUUAACCUUGGCAGGGAAGGAGAGAUAUCCUUUCAAAAUCCAAGUCCUACAUCUGACAUGUAGUAAUUUUUGAAGCACGGUAUUAGUAUUUUUCACCCCUCUUUUCACUGGCACUGUAAAACAAGAAGUAGAGGAGGGUCCUACAAGUCCUACAAGUCCAACAAGUCCUACAUCCUACAUGUCCUAAAUCUGACAUCCAUUUAAUAUUUUCCAUAUUCUCUUUUCUUUCCUGUUGACUUCGGGAAAAGCGUAGUCCCAUUUUUGGGACGCUCACCUGUCUAGUUUCAGAGCCUCUUGAAUACUUGUGUUAAAAGUGGUUGAAUGCCUGCAGUCAGAAGAAGAACUUAUCUCUCACUACAUAACAUCUCUUGCCAUGUAGUGUUCUCUACCAGAGGCUGCCAUAAAGUGAGGAUGAGAAAAGAAAGAAAGCUACUUCACUUAGAAGUGGCGGACUGGAUAACAUGAAUGACUGAGGACUUGACUUAAGGAGACAGCCACAAUGCACCCCGCAAGAGUGACAUCCUUGCUGUUUGCUGCAGUGAGACCCUGGAAGCUCAGGAUGGUUAUAGUCACCUGCAGGAUGUUUGUAUCCCUUGGAUCCCUCAGCCUCAAACAUCCUACUCGUCGUCGUAAAGUGGAUUGGCACUUCUCUGAAGGACAAGUUUGCAUUCUUUGAACCUGUAGUAAAAAUCAUUUGGCUCAGAAUCAAGUCUAAAACACUAGAUUAUAAUUUUGACCUGAAGCAUAGAUGACAAAAUGAUAAAUUUGCAAAACUCAGGCAUUUUUCAGAGCACAUGAAUUCAAUGGGAGUAUUACCAUCAACAUCAAAGGGAGCAGGAUUGAACCUGUAAUGUAUAGCACUAAUGACUACAAUCAAAUAAACUUAUAUUGCCUGGGAUUCCUACUACCUUUUGCCUUUUGUGUGUGCACUUUUAUGCGUGUGCCAAAUGAGUGCAGAGUGGCUCUAGAAUGCUACCAUUUUGAAUCUGUGGCAGUUAGAGUAAAUGGGCAAAAAUAUAAAUAAUAAUAGAGGGUGACGAGCCUUGGGGAAUCUAGUCUACUUGCUUCCCUAACUCGGUAAAGGAAGUGAAGAACCGAAUACCUUGAAAGAUGAGAUUAUAGUCUUGGUGUUGACUUCAGAAAUAUUUACAUUUAAUUUGAUCUGCUUGUGCUAACUGUUAUUUUUUUUACUUGCUUGUGGUGCAACUCAAUUUGAUUAAAAAUUAGUAUGGAAUAGCAUAUAUCUUUGGAAAUGCAUAAACCUUUAGUUAUAUCUUUGUGUAGCAUUCAUAUUUAUAAUUUAUUUUUGCUGUGUUUGGACUACUGCACCAUAUUAGCAGGUAAUUGCUUUGUUCCCUAUGGUUAGUUCUUACCUUACUGAUUCUCCAUGGUGCUACAGCUAGUGACAGAAGGGAAUGUAAGGUAUGAUAAUAGCCUCCUAUUUAACUCCAUUGAAUUUCUUUUGUUGGCUAAUUUUCAUUUGUGUUUACAUCAUUACUAAAUUGCUCAGUUUUACAACCUUAAACUGUGGAUAUUUGUUCAUGGGGGGAAAAAAGAGGAAUCAUCUUUCUGCACGUGUAUUACAUUUCAGUGGGAUUAAAGUAAAAGCUCGAAAUAAAAUAUGAAUGUCAAU